rnacentral:rRNA from 1 species
CAGAGGGGGCAAGCGUUGUUCGGAAUUACUGGACGUAAAGGGCGCGUAGGCGGCCUUCUAAGUCGAACGUGAAAUCCCCGGGCUCAACCCGGGAACUGCGUCCGAUACUGGAAGGCUUGAAUCCGGGAGAGGGAUGUGGAAUUCCAGGUGUAGCGGUGAAAUGCGUAGAUAUCUGGAGGAACACCGGUGGCGAAGGCGACAUCCUGGACCGGUAUUGACGCUGAGGCGCGAAAGCCAGGGGAGCAAACGGGAUUAGAUACCCCGGUAGUCCUGGCCCUAAACGAUGAAUGCUUGGUGUGGCGGGUAUCGAUCCCUGCCGUGCCGAAGCUAACGCAUUAAGCAUUCCGCCUGGGGAGUACGGUCGCAAGGCUG